rnacentral:rRNA from 1 species
UAAGCGAAUAGUGAAAUCGUCCCGCUCAACGGGACGGCUGUUGUUCGAACUGCAUAACUUGAGUGCGAGAGAGGUAGCUGGAAUUUCUAGUGUAGGAGUGAAAUCCGUAGAUAUUAGAAGGAACACCAAUGGCGAAGGCAGGCUACUGGCUCGUUACUGACACUGAGGCACGAAAGCGUGGGGAGCAAACGGGAUUAGAUACCCCGGUAGUCCACGCCGUAAACGAUGAAUGCUA